AUUAAGCAUAUCAAUAAGCGGAGGAAAAGAAACCAACAGGGAUUGCCCUAGUAACGGCGAGUGAAGCGGCAACAGCUCAAAUUUGAAAUCUGGCGCAAGCCCGAGUUGUAAUUUGUAGAGGAUGCUUCUGGGCAGCGGCCGGUCUAAGUUCCUUGGAACAGGACGUCAUAGAGGGUGAGAAUCCCGUAUGUGACUGGCUUGCACCCUCCACGUAGCUCCUUCGACGAGUCGAGUUGUUUGGGAAUGCAGCUCUAAAUGGGAGGUAAAUUUCUUCUAAAGCUAAAUACCGGCCAGAGACCGAUAGCGCACAAGUAGAGUGAUCGAAAGAUGAAAAGCACUUUGGAAAGAGAGUUAAAAAGCACGUGAAAUUGUUGAAAGGGAAGCGCCCGCAACCAGACUUCGUGGCGGCGUUCGGCCGGUCUUCUGACCGGUUUACUCGCCGUCGCGAGGCCAUCAUCGUCUGGGACCGCCGGAUAAGACCUUAGGAAUGUGGCUCCCCUCGGGGAGUGUUAUAGCCUCUGGUGAUGCGGCGCGUCUCGGGCGAGGUCCGCGCCUCGGCAAGGAUGAUGGCGUAAUGGUUGUCGGCGGCCCGUCUUGAAACACGGACCAAGGAGUCUAACAUCUAUGCGAGUGUUCGGGUGUCAAACCCCUACGCGUAAUGAAAGUGAACGGAGGUGGGAACUUUUUGUGCACCAUCGACCGAUCCUGAUGUCCUCGGAUGGAUUUGAGUAAGAGCAUAGCUGUUGGGACCCGAAAGAUGGUGAACUAUGCCUGAAUAGGGUGAAGCCAGAGGAAACUCUGGUGGAGGCUCGCAGCGGUUCUGACGUGCAAAUCGAUCGUCAAAUUUGGGUAUAGGGGCGAAAGACUAAUCGAAACCAUCUAGUAGCUGGGUUCCUGCCGAAGUUCCCCGUCAGAA
rnacentral:rRNA from 1 species